UAUAAUUAUUUAUUGAAACUUAAAUAUUUUGGCAGUAUUUUAGUUUAUUUAGAGGAAUCUGUUUAUUAAUUGAUAAUCCACGAGUAAAUUUACUUAAUUUAUUAUUUUGUAUAUCAUUGUUAAAAAAUAUUUUUUAAUAAUAAUAAUAUUUUAAAAUUAAAAAAAAAAUUAAAUCAAAUCAAGAUGCAGAUUAUAAUUAAGAAUAUAAUGGGUUACAAUAAAAUUAUUUAAAUGAAUUUUAAUUUGUAAUAAUUAUAUGAAGGUGGAUUUAAAUGUAAUUUUA
rnacentral:rRNA from 1 species